rnacentral:rRNA from 1 species
UCAUUAACUGAAUCCAUAGGUUAAUGAGGCGAACCGGGGGAACUGAAACAUCUAAGUACCCCGAGGAAAAGAAAUCAACCGAGAUUCCCCCAGUAGCGGCGAGCGAACGGGGAGCAGCCCAGAGCCUGAAUCAGUAUGUGUGUUAGUGGAAGCGUCUGGAAAGGCGCGCGAUACAGGGUGACAGCCCCGUACACAAAAAUGCACAUGCUGUGAGCUCGAUGAGUAGGGCGGGACACGUGGUAUCCUGUCUGAAUAUGGGGGGACCAUCCUCCAAGGCUAAAUACUCCUGACUGACCGAUAGUGAACCAGUACCGUGAGGGAAAGGCGAAAAGAACCCCGGCGAGGGGAGUGAAAAAGAACCUGAAACCGUGUACGUACAAGCAGUGGGAGCACGCUUAGGCGUGUGACUGCGUACCUUUUGUAUAAUGGGUCAGCGACUUAUAUUCUGUAGCAAGGUUAACCGAAUAGGGGAGCCGAAGGGAAACCGAGUCUUAACUGGGCGUUAAGUUGCAGGGUAUAGACCCGAAACCCGGUGAUCUAGCCAUGGGCAGGUUGAAGGUUGGGUAACACUAACUGGAGGACCGAACCGACUAAUGUUGAAAAAUUAGCGGAUGACUUGUGGCUGGGGGUGAAAGGCCAAUCAAACCGGGAGAUAGCUGGUUCUCCCCGAAAGCUAUUUAGGUAGCGCCUCGUGAAUUCAUCUCCGGGGGUAGAGCACUGUUUCGGCAAGGGGGUCAUCCCGACUUACCAACCCGAUGCAAACUGCGAAUACCGGAGAAUGUUAUCACGGGAGACACACGGCGGGUGCUAACGUCCGUCGUGAAGAGGGAAACAACCCAGACCGCCAGCUAAGGUCCCAAAGUCAUGGUUAAGUGGGAAACGAUGUGGGAAGGCCCAGACAGCCAGGAUGUUGGCUUAGAAGCAGCCAUCAUUUAAAGAAAGCGUAAUAGCUCACUGGUCGAGUCGGCCUGCGCGGAAGAUGUAACGGGGCUAAACCAUGCACCGAAGCUGCGGCAGCGACGCUGAUGCGUUGUUGGGUAGGGGAGCGUUCUGUAAGCCUGCGAAGGUGUGCUGUGAGGCAUGCUGGAGGUAUCAGAAGUGCGAAUGCUGACAUAAGUAACGAUAAAGCGGGUGAAAAGCCCGCUCGCCGGAAGACCAAGGGUUCCUGUCCAACGUUAAUCGGGGCAGGGUGAGUCGACCCCUAAGGCGAGGCCGAAAGGCGUAGUCGAUGGGAAACAGGUUAAUAUUCCUGUACUUGGUGUUACUGCGAAGGGGGGACGGAGAAGGCUAUGUUGGCCGGGCGACGGUUGUCCCGGUUUAAGCGUGUAGGCUGGUUUUCCAGGCAAAUCCGGAAAAUCAAGGCUGAGGCGUGAUGACGAGGCACUGCGGUGCU